UACGUAGGGCGCAAGCGUUAUCCGGAAUUAUUGGGCGUAAAGAGCUCGUAGGCGGUGUGUCGCGUCGGCCGUGAAAACCUGGGGCUCAACUCUGGGCGUGCGGUCGAUACGGGCAUCACUUGAGUUCGGCAGGGGAGACUGGAAUUCCUGGUGUAGCGGUGAAAUGCGCAGAUAUCAGGAGGAACACCGGUGGCGAAGGCGGGUCUCUGGGCCGAUACUGACGCUGAGGAGCGAAAGCAUGGGGAGCGAACAGG
rnacentral:rRNA from 1 species